ACAAGCUAUCAAGGACAACAAUGGUCCAUAGCACUAGAUUUUCAUCAAAUAGCAACAUUUCAUCCAAAAGCCUGAUAAGCAACAUUGUAGUUACAUCAUUAAUAAUAAAAAAAUAUAAAUAUUGCGGAAAACCCUUAAGCAACUAAAGCUAAUGCCAGAAAAACCUAAUAAUGUUGCAAUCACCAACUACGGAAACAAAACUUAGUUGAAGGAUGUAUAACUGAAAGAUUGAAAACUCAGAUCACGACAAACAGCUUUAUGCAAAAAUAAAAGACAUUUUCCAUUUGCCAACCCUCAUGGAACCUCAAUAACUCAACACCUCAACGAAAAAUGAAUAAUUUAUCUGAAUCACCUUUAGCGUUAUAAACAUGAAGCUUCAUAUAAGGUGACACGGGAUACGACGAUUAGAGGAUCAGCAGACAAAUAACACAUAUUUGCUCUACGCAUGAUUGUAAUGAUGCAACUUGUAUAACAAUACUUUCCCAGCAGCAUUUCCUACAGCCAUGAAACCUCCACCAGGACUGAAAUCCAAACAGCGGGGAUAAUGUAGACUCUUAUUGGCUGGAGGCCAGUUAGAGAACGCGGUAAAUGAUGGGACAUGUAUCAACUUUAAACUGCUCUUCUUCAUGUGUGAACAAAUGGCUAAUAUCUGAGCAUCAUUAUUAAAUUUCAAAAAAUCCACUUUAGUGGUCAAAUUCUCAAUUGCCUUUAUUGGUUUUCUCUUCCCACCUAAAAACUCCUCUCUGUUGUAAACAUUCACUAUCCCACUGUCCGAGCCAGCAGCAAAAAAGUUUCCAUUUGGGGAAGUGCAAAGAGCCGUGCCAUUUAUACAACCUUCAUCAACAGCCUUAUGGAUGCACAUCCUUGUUCUCAAAUCCCAGUGGUACACCUGCCCAUCACCUCCAUGGCUCAAUAAUUGCUGCCCAUUAUCAGCAAAAGCUAAAGAACGAGCAGUUCCAUUCAUCUUUAGUGUUCCAAUGAGUUCCUUCGUUUUGGAUGAUAUCAAUAGGAUAUAACCUUCAUUCCCCACAAAAGCAAUUGUACUCGAAUCAGGGGAUACCUCAAAAACCUCCAAGCUCUUC
rnacentral:misc_RNA from 1 species